ACAGUGUCUGGUGGGUAGUUUGACUGGGGCGGUCUCCUCCUAAAGAGUAACGGAGGAGCACGAAGGUUGGCUAAUCCUGGUCGGACAUCAGGAGGUUAGUGCAAUGGCAUAAGCCAGCUUGACUGCGAGCGUGACGGCGCGAGCAGGUGCGAAAGCAGGUCAUAGUGAUCCGGUGGUUCUGAAUGGAAGGGCCAUCGCUCAACGGAUAAAAGGUACUCCGGGGAUAACAGGCUGAUACCGCCCAAGAGUUCAUAUCGACGGCGGUGUUUGGCACCUCGAUGUCGGCUCAUCACAUCCUGGGGCUGAAGUAGGUCCCAAGGGUAUGGCUGUUCGCCAUUUAAAGUGGUACGCGAGCUGGGUUUAGAACGUCGUGAGACAGUUCGGUCCCUAUCUGCCGUGGGCGCUG
rnacentral:rRNA from 1 species